AUGACCUCAGUUGCUGCCACAUUAAGGCUGCUGGAUCUAAAUGAAGGUAUUAGGGAGUGGGCAAACCCAUGUUUGUGCCCAGAUGAAAUGCUGCUGGGCUUAGUGCUGGCAAAACCAGGCUUUUCCUCUUGUGUGUGGCCGCAGCAAGCCCAGUCCUGGAGGGCCCUUGCUCAUCCCUGCAGGAGGCAAAAAACGUCUAACAGGAGGCAGAAUGUCUUUGACCGCUUGCUGCUGGGAGGACAGAGAGACCAACACCUCCCGCUCCCCCAGCUCUGCUGCCUGCCCGGGUGCCACCUUCACUGGGGGCUUUCCUCCUCUCGGCACCCUCCUUUUCCUCCUCCUCGACCACCCGCCGCACACGGGCUGUGGCUGGGCCCACCGCACGCUGCCUCUGCCCCAUCUCUGCUCCUCGCUCAGUGCAAGUCUCCUGCUGCCGCUCUGCACCUCCGCUCCGCUGGAUGGGCAGGGGGACAGGGGCGAGCACAAAACAAAAGGAAGAAGAAAGACAAAGGGUAGUGAGAAGGUAGUUGCAAUGACCUCACCGGAUGAUUCACCUGCUGCCGUUGUAAAAGAAGCUGAGGCUGUAAUGUGACAGAUCUCCUCUUUAAAAAAUAAAAAGCAACAACAAAAAUCCCAACAGACUGUCCUUACCUGCGCUGCCUGUGGCAGUGAAGCUCUUCCAACCAGGUAUCUUUUAAAAUUUGUUUCCUUUGCUUGAAUAAAGUGAGUAGACUGUAAAGUUUAUAUUUUGAAUUAAAAAUAAAAAAAUAAAAUUGAAAUUCUACAUCCCAGAGAAUAUUUAAUGCUUUGAACAUUGAUAUUUUAAAAAUUUCUUUCCAACUCACAUGUGAAGUUGUUCUAAGUCCAUCUAAGGAGGCUAAACACAGAGCACACUCAGGUGCUCCAACCUCUAUCUUUAAGGGACUUUAAGGGUGAGCUGAGAGGUGGCCCUGGUAAAUGAACUUUGCUGCACUUUGGAAAUGUCCAUGCGUGCAUCCAGCCUUGGCAGCCUAAAUCCCCUUCUGUUAAAGGAGCACAGGGAGGCAAGGGCUGGAUGAACACUUAGCACAGUGCUGCCCCACACUGCUUCCUGUGCCAUGCAGCUCAAUGGAAGGAUUCCCAGAUCUUUCAAACAGUAUUUUGUAAAAAAUGUAAAAAAAAUUUGUAAAAAAUGAUUUCUUGUCCAUUUAUGUUCUGUGAGUCAGCUGUGAAGGCAAAAUGAAGCUCUGUAAUGUGGAGUUACCUAUGGCACCGCUCUAACUUGUUUAGUAAAAAAAUAAACGUGGACCAGAGAGCUGGGAUCAUGCUGCAAAUCCUUAGCUGAAGCAGGAUAGGUUAUACUUACAAUUGCUAUGUUGUUUAGCCUCGCCUUUAAUUAAGACAUAACAGAAAUCCUUUCAGUUCUGCUGCUUGGUUUUGUGACUGGCUAGAAGGCAAUUGCAGUGGCAGAGCUUGUAUCGCUCUUUACAUGAACAAAGUAAGCCAAAAGAUGACCUCUUCUGUGCUAAAUUACAUUAUUAAAACACUUAAGACUUACUUGUCCUAUUAAAUAGUUUAUACAGGAAAAUAAAUAGUUCCUGUGCUUCUUCUAUAGCACUAGGUAUUUUGUGUAGGGCAACUUCAUGUUAGUGUGCUUGUGUAGCAAUAGUAUCGAGGUGCAGUUUGGUGAAGCAGACAGGUCUAGAACCAGCACUUGUGCCCAAAUUCACCAACUGAACCAAGGUUGCUUGAAAUUGCACUUUUGUAAGCCAUUGCAAGAUUGCACUUAGAGAAAGCUGAAGGCAAAAGGCAACCAACCUACACAGGCUGUCCUUCCGCUGGCCCUCCCCAGGACCACGUUCCUGCUCAAGGUUCUGAGGCCAGAGCAGGUUGCUACCACCCCUAUCCACCUGUGACACAGCCUAGGGAACAUUUUGACCUUGGUCUGUCCUGCAGCUACAGCGAUAUACCAGGAUCUUCCACCUGGCACGUGGUGGGACUGUUGUGGGUGCCCUGGGUUUCUCCGAGAAGAGCUCAGGCAUCACCUGUCGUAGGGGCAUUGGGAUUUGUGAGCAACCUGCCCUUGGGAUGGGGAUGCAGGCUACUGCCAGAGGCAGUACCCUUCUUGUUCCCCUGCAUCCACUGGAGCGACCAAAGGACAGACAGACAGACACAGGCAGACACGCACAGACAGCACAGACAGAGCUGGACAUGGGCUGGGAGCAGGCAGCACCUGCCCAAAACACACCUAAGCUCCUCACCCUAGACAAGUGCUUGCUGUGAUCUGCCAUGAGGUGUGAGGGUGAGGAGGAAGGAAGAGCAACAGAAACAAACUUACCUUGUGAAACUUUGAUGGUGAACAAAAGGAGGCAAAGGAACAUGAAAGAAAGAGAGAGGGAGAAAUGUAACUGUAGGCUAUAUAUCCGAAACACAUGAAGAAUGAGCAAACUGGGGCUGUGUACACAGAGAACAACUCUACAAUCAAACGUUGACAGCAAAGCUAACCCUUGACAAGGCUGUGUUUAGCUACAAUCCUUGUAUUUGAAGUGGGUUGUUUUGUUUGGGGUUCUUGUUUAGGGAGGCCCGUGGAAUCCUCAUCUGUUUUUCAGGUCACUGGCCCUGAGCCGAGCACCUCCAAGCCCACGAGGUGCUCCCAAGAGUGCUCUCCUUGGUGACGUUGCUAUUACACGGGCUAGACUGAAGGUGGAAAACGAGACAUCAUGGNNNNNNNNNNNNNNNNNNNNNNNNNNNNNNNNNNNNNNNNNNNNNNNNNNNNNNNNNNNNNNNNNNNNNNNNNNNNNNNNNNNNNNNNNNNNNNNNNNNNNNNNNNNNNNNNNNNNNNNNNNNNNNNNNNNNNNNNNNNNNNGACCUUGGCCCUAUCUAACAUUCAUAAAUGAGGUCAAGAACUUAACCCACCGCAGCCCUUGGUAGGAGACCACAACAAAGGUUGUUCCACCUACUUACCUUAGGCAUAGUCUGGGGGAUGGUUCUAUUUAGACUGUAAGGAAUGUACUGGAUCUAAGUAGGCAAUUUGCCCCCAGAAUUUCCUUAAUCUCACGAAGGGUUA
rnacentral:lncRNA from 1 species